CUGUGGGAAAAGCAUAGUAUCUGGGCUGGAAUGCACUGUUCCUCAGGGCACAGUCCCUCAUGGCUUCCCUUGGCCCAGGGAGGGAGUUCCCCGACCCCUUGGACUUUCUGAGUUUGCUUUGGUUCACCCUCUGGGGGCUGCACCCACUGUCUAACCAGUCCCGAUGAAAUGAGCCAGAUACUUCUGUUGGAAAUGCAGCAAUCACCUGCCUUCUGUGUUGAUCUUGCUGGGAGCUGUAGACUGGAGCUGUUCCUAUUCGGUCAUCUUGUCAGCCACUUAUAUGACAUUUUUUUUCCCAGUCAUCCAUUGAUGGUUGAUGGACCCUUAGGCUGAUUCUAUAUUUUUGAUAAUGUAAAUAGUGCUGUGCGAAACAUAUGAAUGCAAGUAUCUUCUGGAUAUGACCUCUUUUUAAAGAACUUGUACCUUUGUUUAUCUUACUUUAUCAAGAGCCAGAUCUUUGAUCUACCAAAUUUAUAUUCUGACUGAAGUUAUCUGAUACUCCAAAACUGGUUACUUCAGUAACUAAAAGUUAGUAAAAUUCAUCAUUUAGAGGAAUGUAGACCAAAUUUGACUCUUUCCAUUUUUUAAAAAGUCAGUUUGUUGAUCUCAUGUAGGAAUCUUAAUGUUAAUAAUGUUAAUAAAUUAAUUUACUGAGGCAGUUUAUUGAGAGACACUAAAAGCUCUCUUCAGUGAAAGACACUUGUUUGUCCUCAUAACGUCUGUGCAUCUGUGCUUUCUGCACAUAAAGUCUAUGAAAAUUUUGUCCAAGCUUUUAAUGAAGAGGCAAGACAUUGUCUCCAAAUGUGCCGUCUCUGAAACUGAUCAUCUUCUCUUUCUUGAGAAGAAGAGAAAUCUUGAGUAGUAUUAACUCAAGUUUUAUCCCAAGCCACUUUAACACAGCAAGCAGUCAUUGAGAUCUCCAAGCAUCAGGUUAAUUUGCUUCCAAAUCAACAUACUUCCGGAGCUAAAAAUUAUGGGGACAAAAAGGUAUUGUGGUUUGUUUUAUCUAGUCUUAGUUAUUUUAAAUAUAUAGAGCAAAUAGGAUUUAUCACCACACAGACGUAAACAUAAGCAGUCAUACACGCACCCUAUUUAUUGAAUUAUCUUAAUAAUAGUUUAUAGCUUAAAUGUCAUGUUUACAUUCUUUUUCUUAUUUCUUGUCAUAAAAAAUACUUUGAAGUCAAAAAGGAAAACAUUCUUUUUUUUACUUUAAAAAUCAGCACCUGAAUGAAACCCAGAGCAGGUUAGCAAGACAUCCAAAGGCAGAUAGCUGGUAAGUGGCAGAAUGGAAAUUCAGAUUCAGAUCUCUGAAUCACCACAUAACCUGGAAAGUUGUCAUUCUAAUAAAUGAAAAAUGUGACUCUGAAUGUUUGUCAUUAUUUAGUCUGGCUCCUAAAAUAUAGAUUCACUUUCUAAUCCUAAUAAAAUGAAUACCUUUAGACUGUUUAUUAAGGAACCUUCAGGGGCAUCUCAACAGUAUCCUGGAUUAGAAAAAAGUUCCAGGAAGAAUUAUCUUAGAGUCACAGGAGCCACAGCUUCAAGGAAUGGGCAGCUUUUACUGCUUUUGCUAAGUAGGUCCAUGGAAGGCAGGUUGGGUUUCUUGAAGGAAUGACUGCAGUUUACCCAUUACCUCCCAACUGAGCAUUAUUAUACAACAGUUUGCAGGAAAACACACACAUUUCUUCUCAGCUAAAUUACUAUUUGGAUUUCCUAUCAGCCUUAAAGUAAAUAAAUGCCAUUUAGUGGCUUUUCAUGAGUGACACUAAUAAUUUGGUUCACAUAGUGAAAACAACAUCAUAAAAAUAGAAGUCAACUCAGUUGGAAGAGGAGAAAGAGGCUAGAGAUGAAAACAGUGAAGAUCCUCUUUGAAAUGCUUGCAAUGUAGUUAUUGGUGAUGAAGGAGUUAAGAAUACGCCAUCCUCAAAAUAUGCUGCUCUGGCAUCAUAAUUAUUGCUGUUCAAGGUACUUAAAAAACAGUAGGUGCAAAAAGAUCCUUCUGACCAUUUUUGUGUUUCUUAAAAGCAGGAGGUAGCAUUCCCAUUUGAAAGAUGAGCUCCCUAUAAAAGCAACGCUCUUAUCAAGAACAGAAAGUUGAAGCCAAGAGAGAGCUCCACCAGUUGACCUUGUUAAACUAACCCUUAUCUUCUUAGUCACUUCUUUACCCAAUUAACUACCCUAGCCGAAGCCCCUUUGCCUUAUUAUAUUUGCAACCGUGUUCGUUGUCCAAUUCAGUGUACAAGUGAGUGACUCUAGCUGCUUUUUGGGGUCUUCAUUUUCUUAUGAGGGCUUCCGUGUCAUGUAAACUUGUAUUAAAUAAAUUUGUAUGCUUUUCUCCUGUUAAUCUGUCUAUAUUGACUGAAUUUUAGGGUCCAGCCAGAACCCAAAGAGAAUGGAGGUGGAGUUUUGACUCCCCUACAGCUAGCUGAAUGAUCACAAUUGAAGAUAUUCCAUGUUCUUUCUGAGUUUCUUUGAAAUUAAAAACAUAGACAACCACUCAACUAAUGUCAGCCACAUAUGUUUUCUGUCCUUAUUGCCUUACUGAUGAAAUUGCCUUUAUUUGUAAAAGAUAAAUGUGGGAGUCUUUUUUAUUUUUUUCUAAUGAUAUUAACUUGACAUUUACCUUGGUGCUCUUGGGAACCAUAAAUGGGCCCUGUACUACUUGUUACAGAAUAUAAAUUCCCAGAACUACAAGAACAUCAUAUUCCUCAAGUUGCUGAAGAAUGUCAUGAUCCAUGUAAUACAAGGUUCUUGAGAACUUGGGCCUUUUUGACUUGAUGGCCUGACUGAUGAAUGUCUCACUAGGAAGGAAUGUUUGUUUAAGGCAGUUUUCCUGAUCACAUAAAAAUAUCAAUAACGCCUGCUGGUAGUAUGUUCUCCAAACUCAGCUGCUUCUGUGGGAACAGCUAUUUAUAUGCCUUAUAGGUAAUUUGCUUUUUAAAGGGAGUGAAAAUUAUCCUUCUCAUAUGUGGAAUUCUAAUCCUUGGGCCUGGCAAUCAAGAAGAUGGUUCAUGAGAAGUAUCCCUUUCAGGUACAUAUUUAUGACCAGAAAUAUCCCUUGGGAGAUGUAAGAUGUUGAUGUGAAAAUAAUGGCUUUGCCAGUAGAAGGCUUUCACCCAGUCAUCUCCUCUGCCACUUUCUUCUCGCUGAAACUCGAAGUGGAGUGUGGCACCUGAACUGUAGGUGUACCAGAUACUCCAGAUGGCGAAAAGGUACAGCUGAUGUGGGAGGUGUUUUUGAGCCAGCCCCUCUUCAGCCACAUAGACUAGCAACAAAGCACCAUCUUGGAAGCAGAGAGCCGCCCUCACCAGAACUGAAUGCAGGCACCAUGACCUUGAACUUCCCAGCCUCCGGACCUGUGAGAAAUAAAUUUCUGUUCUUUAUAACUUA